UACGUAGGGUGCGAGCGUUGUUCGGAGUUACUGGGCGUAAAGCGUGCGCAGGCGGCCCGUUAAGACAGGUGUGAAAUCCCUGGGCUCAACCUAGGAAUUGCGCUUGUGACUGGCGGGCUCGAGUACGGUAGAGGGGGAUGGAAUUCCUGGUGUAGCAGUGAAAUGCGUAGAGAUCAGGAGGAACACCGAUGGCGAAGGCAGCCCCCUGGGCCUGUACUGACGCUGAGGCGCGAAAGCUAGGGGAGCAAACGGG
rnacentral:rRNA from 1 species